GUCUAUCUCAUGGACGGUCGGGUGAACCCCGAGGUCUUGGAAGAGGACCUGGACCGCAUAGGACAUGCAACACGAGCUCUUGCUGAAUAUAACCACUCCUUUCUCCGAAGACAUUCUCACAACUUUGUCCAUGGUGUUUUAAAGGUAGUCUCAAUCAAUCUGUGGCUUGUUUCUUGGAGAAGAAGAAACAAAAUUCUUUCUCUUUUGUAGAUUGAAAGAUACUUAAAACCAAAAGCCCAUGGAAUAAACCUAGUUUUUGGGCGAAGAAAAGAGUUUUUAUUGUUGUAUAUAUAUCCUAUAGUAUUAAGCUCAGUGUUGCCUGAGACUUGAGUUUCUUGAAUCAUAGGCUAUUUAUAACAAAACAAAGGUUCCCCAAAAAGAAUGUUGAGACCAAAAAGAGAUCACAGAAGAUCGCCCAUAAGGUUCCCCAAGUACAUCAAAGUGACUUUAUUGUGAACCAAAUCAAAAUUUUGUUUCUUUUUUUUAUUUGGUAUUAGUAAGGAGGGACCAACAAAAGUUGCACAUAAUCAAAAUUCACCUACCCUUUUUUCCUCCUAGAUACCAAGAUGAGCAUUUCGAUUGAACCCAUAUGCUUCUUUGUUGCAGAUAUGCUAAAGAAUAUGGCACAUGUGUUAUAUAUUUAUUUGCAAGUUCUUUUAUGCCAGAGAAUUAGAAUUUUAUAUUUAUGUGGACCAAAUUUUUCUUUUCUUUAUCUAAGAAUAUUAUUUUUGUUUCAAGAAUCAUGCUCAGAUGAAGGGUGUGAGAUAGCGCAAGGUGGUGGCGAAUAACCGAAGAGAUAUGCUUAUCGGAUCGGAUCGUGUCCACAAUAACAACCAAAUUCUUGAACAUGUUACUGUACAACAAGAUAUAUUGUUUUCUUUGGGAGAUUCUCUCAAUCACACUUCGCUAGUGGUCGUGAAGGAAUAAAAAUACAUAUGGGUUUCUCUUGCUUGCCAAUUCUUUUUCAGCAAUUUGCCAAGAUUCUUAACUCAAAUUUGAAUCAAAUGCAAAACUAACCUAUAAGCCUUGUGAAAUUACAGUCAGUCAUUUGUGACCAAACAAAAAAACAUAAGUCAAUUUUACGAAUAUAGCCCCAGUAGGUCGUCUGAGAUGCUGGAAGUCGUCUGGUGUAGUUGAUCUUAAAAAUACUUUUAAAAUUUUUAAAAAAUAUUUUGACAAAUGAAAAAUUAAAAUCAUGUAAUUAUAAAUAGUUUUAAGUAAUGUAAAUUAAGAUAUAAUAAAAUUGAAUAGUUUUCAGCAUAGAUGAGUGAAAGUAGUUAAUCAUGAUUCUCACAACUUUGUCCAUGGUGUUUUAAAGGUAGUCUCAAUCAAUCUGUGGCUUGUUUCUUGGAGAAGAAGAAACAAAAUUCUUUCUCUUUUGUAGAUUGAAAGAUACUUAAAACCAAAAGCCCAUGGAAUAAACCUAGUUUUUGGGCGAAGAAAAGAGUUUUUAUUGUUGUAUAUAUA
rnacentral:lncRNA from 1 species